rnacentral:rRNA from 1 species
GACGAACGCUGGCGGCGUGCUUAACACAUGCAAGUCGAACGGAAAGGCCCUGCUUUUGUGGGGUGCUCGAGUGGCGAACGGGUGAGUAACACGUGAGUAACCUGCCCUUGACUUUGGGAUAACUUCAGGAAACUGGGGCUAAUACCGGAUAGGAGCUCCUGCUGCAUGGUGGGGGUUGGAAAGUUUCGGCGGUUGGGGAUGGACUCGCGGCUUAUCAGCUUGUUGGUGGGGUAGUGGCUUACCAAGGCUUUGACGGGUAGCCGGCCUGAGAGGGUGACCGGCCACAUUGGGACUGAGAUACGGCCCAGACUCCUACGGGAGGCAGCAGUGGGGAAUAUUGCACAAUGGGCGGAAGCCUGAUGCAGCAACGCCGCGUGCGGGAUGACGGCCUUCGGGUUGUAAACCGCUUUCGCCUGUGACGAAGCGUGAGUGACGGUAAUGGGUACAGAAGCACCGGCUCCCUACGUG